rnacentral:rRNA from 1 species
ACUUCCUACGGGAGGCAGCAGUGGGGAAUAUUGGACAAUGGGCGCAAGCCUGAUCCAGCCAUGCCGCGUGUGUGAAGAAGGCCUUCGGGUUGUAAAGCACUUUCAGCGAGGAGGAAAGGUUAAGUGUUAAUAGCACUUAGCUGUGACGUUACUCGCAGAAGAAGCACCGGCUAACUCCGUGCCAGCAGCCGCGGUAAUACGGAGGGUGCAAGCGUUAAUCGGAAUUACUGGGCGUAAAGCGUGCGCAGGCGGUCUGUUAAGCGAGAUGUGAAAGCCCGGCGUCAACCUGGGAACUGCAUUUCGAACUGGCAGACUAGAGUCUUGUAGAGGGGGUGA